UUCCAGCAGUGAUGUAAGCAGGUUCCAUUGCUACCUACUAAGCAUUGGGCCACCCUUCUGGCACAACAUUUCAAUUACAAACAACAUGCUUCCUGUUUGUAUGCAGCCUGGCUAUGUUCAGAAGACUCAAAUCGGAUGACUUGGAUUAGGAUGUCCCAUUAGAGGAGAUGUUUCCUAACAUGUGGAUGUGGAAAAGCAGGAUAAUCACUUGGGAGAAGUAUCAGGAUGGCUCCUCAGAGUUGAUCUGCAUGGAACUUUUAGGGUGUUCCCAGGCAAUUAAUAAAGAGCUUUGCUGUGACAGCAAUGAGGA